GCCCGGUUAGCUCAAUCGGUAGAGCGUGAGACUCUUACCAUGUUUGCUCCAAUAAUCUCAAGGUUGCGGGUUCGACCCCCGCAUCGGGCU